GGGAGACAGGGAGAAGGAGGGAGGGAAGAAAGGAGCCGGCGCUCCGCCCGCCACCCCCGCUGCCCCUUGGCGUCACAGAAUCACAGAAUAGUUGGGCGUGGAAGGGACCUCUGGAGAUCACCCAGUCCAACCCCCCUACCCAGGAAGGGUCACCUGGAGCAGGAGCCCAGAACUGGACACAGCACUCCAGAUGUGGCCGAUGUGCCACUCUGUCACCGCCUCGGGGACACAGGACACUGCCGGGGACAGGCCCUGGCACAGACCCACAGCCCCGGACUCAGGCUGGCAAGGGAGAUGAGUCCCAGCUGAAGCACAAACUCACAGAAACACAUAGAACAGCAGUUUCCAGACUCUGGCAUUGUAUGUAACUCCUUGCUUUGAACCCCAAACCUCUCCUACAGAUACCAAGGCCAGCACAAACACAAGAGCCUGUGCAACCUUUCCAACCACUCACAGCAGCACCAAGCAGCCUGCCACUGGGAACCACUGCCUCCAAAAUCCAUCCAAUCAAAUAGGAGAAGCUACUCAACAACCUGACCGAAUUAUUCUGCCCAAUUCAAUUGUCUGAGAUCCCCAUCCUCUUCCUCCAUCCUUUUCUGCAUUGCCAAGGGGCAGCAUGUCCCAAAAAGAGAGCCAAACCAAGCACUCUCCAGGCUGACAUUCUCUAGAUGGGUGGCUUGCACACAUCAGACACACCUCAGUCCUCCAUCAUUAGUUCUAUUCACACUACUUUUCCCAAAAUUAAAACAACCCCUUCCAUUGGUACAAUACAUCACAAAUGGACAGAAGAAUAAACAUUACAUGACAUUCCUUCACAAGUCAGUCUCAGUCCAGCUGUGUCAUUCUGCCAGAUCACCUGGCAAAGAGCAGCUGCAGUGUGAUAACACAGAACUGCUCUGACACCUUCUGGUGACAAACCUUGUGACAAACACAGCCCUUGGAAACAGCAGCAAUGAGGACAGACCCGAGAACUGUUCUGAAUUUCACUUCUAAACAUCAGCCACAAUGCAGAAGCAGCAC